ACCUACGUUGGUAUGCUCCUAGUGUCAGUCAAUCCCUACAAAGAUCUGGGAAUCUGCACCAAGAAGUAGAUGGACAUUUACAUGGGAGUGUACUUUUUUGUGCUUCCACCCCAUAUCUACCUGGUACAGGUGGGAGAGGUAACUUAUCAAUGCUACAGCUACCUGGUACAGGUGGGAGAGGUAACUUAUCAACGCUACAGCUACCUGGUACAGGUGGGAGAGGUAACCUAUCAAUGCUACAGCUACCUGGUACAGGUGGGAGAGGUAACCUAUCAACGCUACAGCUACCUGGUACAGGUGGGAGAGGUAACCUAUCAACGCUACAGCUACCUGGUACAGGUGGGAGAGGUAACCUAUCAACGCUACAGCUACCUGGUACAGGUGGGAGAGGUAACCUAUCAACGCUACAGCUACCUGGUACAGGUGGGAGAAGUAACUUAUCAACGCUACAUCUACCUGGUGCAGGUGGGAGAGGUAAACUUAUCAACGCUACAGCUACCUGGUACAGGUGGGAGAGGUAACGUAUCAAUGCUACAGCUACUUGGUACAGGUGGGAGAGGUAACUUAUCAACGCUACAUCUACCUGGUGCAGGUGGGAGAGGUAACUUAUCAACGCUACAGCUACCUGGUACAGGUGGGAGAGGUAACUUAUCAACGCUACAGCUACCUAGUACAGGUGGGAGAGGAAUUGUCAAUGCUACAGUUACCUGGUACAGGUGGGAGAGGUAACUUAUCAACGCUACAGCUACCUGGUACAGGUGGGAGAGGUAACCUAUCAAUGCUACAGCUACCUGGUGCAGGUGGGAGAGGUAACCUAU
rnacentral:lncRNA from 1 species